rnacentral:rRNA from 1 species
GUCCUGAGUAAAGCGGCGGACGGGUGAGUAACACGUAGGUAAUCUUCCCUUGAGCGGGGGACAACGAGCCGAAAGGCUCGCUAAUACCGCAUAAGUUCCCAGAGACCUCGGUUUCUGGGAGGAAAGCUAGGUAGCAAUAUCCGGCACUCGAGGAGGAGCCUGCGUCGCAUCAGCUAGUUGGUGGGGUAAUGGCCUACCAAGGCGAAGACGGGUAGCUGGUCUGAGAGGAUGAUCAGCCACACUGGGACUGGGACACGGCCCAGACUCCUACGGGAGGCAGCAGUGGGGAAUAUUGGACAAUGGGCGCAAGCCUGAUCCAGCCACGCCGCGUGAGUGAUGAAGGCCUUCGGGUCGUAAAGCUCUGUGGGGAGGGACGAACCGCCGGAGGCUAAUAGCUUCCGGCAUGACGGUACCUCCUUAGCAAGCACCGGCUAACUACGUGCCAGCAGCCGCGGUAAUACGAAGGGUGCAAACGUUGCUCGGAAUUAUUGGGCGUAAAGCGCACGUAGGCGGCUUAGCAAGUCGGAUGUGAAAUCCCUCGGCUCAACCAAAGGAAGUGCAUCCGAAACUGCUGAGCUUGAGUACUUAAGAGGAUCGCGGAAUUCCCGGUGUAGAGGUGAAAUUCGUAGAUAUCGGGAGGAACACCAGUGGCGAAGGCGGCGAUCUGGGAGGUUACUGACGCUGAGGUGCGAAAGCGUGGGGAGCAAACAG